UGGUUCACGUUAACGAGAGAGUAUUGAAAUUUUGAAAAUAAGCAGUGAAGGAUUUUGAUUUAAUGUGAAUAUUUGUAUUAAGAGAUAUGAUUGGUAUUAUUAAGCUUGCUUAUACUAAAAUGUAUGAUAUAUUGAUGCCACACUGUUAAUGUAUUGUUGUGUAUGU